UUGGCGGGAAGCACAGUGACAAGAAGCAGUAUGCGGAGCUCGUCAGGAAGUGUCGCUAUCGAGAAUAGGUUUCUGCGCAUCGUGUAUUGCGCAGUUUCGUUUAACCGACAAUGGAGGCGCGCCAUAUUUGAACAUGCGAGGUACAUUUGAAACUUUACUAACGAACAUUCAGAGAAAUGAUCUAACGGUGUUUCAAAAUUUUGUGAUGGACUUGGCUAUAACUUUUGCUGGAUCACAACAAUAUCAAUGACAAUGUUCUUCGCAUC